UUUUAAAUUUGUAUUGCUUACGUAAUACUAUCUACUAUUUCAAUAAAACUUAAUGUCACUAAAAUUUUUUAUGCCCGAUCGUUGUUCACGAUACUUGUCAACUAGUGCUAUCUGUAUUAUAGUGCGUUAGUAAUUGGGAACCGAUAUCCCAUUAUAGUGAAUUCUUGAUUGAUAUCUUUAUUGAUCACAACGAAAUAUGUUACACGGUAUAAUAAGUACCUAUAAUACGAUAAUACGAUAUUAUGCAUUAUACACACUGUGAUACCGAUUUUAUACCGAUUCAAUAUCUAUAUGUGCUAGAUAAUAUUUAAAUUAUGCGUAUAAGAUGUUUUUCAACCCGUGGUAAAUAAUAUUGCGCAAUAACUGUCACUUGUGUAAUUCGUAAGGAAAGAAAAAAUACAAAUUCGCAGAAUCAAUUGCAACGUUUCUCGAACACAAUAAUAAUAUAAUAUAUGCUGAAAAAAAUCGAAUUAAAUUUACUUUUUUAAUAUUCAAAACGCGUAUUAGGUUCGUUUAUUAGAAUGUUACCAUGGUUUACCUUAUUGAUUUAAAUUAUUUAAAAUUU